rnacentral:rRNA from 1 species
UACAGAGGUCCCAAGCGUUGUUCGGAUUCACUGGGCGUAAAGGGUGCGUAGGUGGCUUGGUAAGUUUGAUGUGAAAUCUCCGGGCUUAACCCGGAAAUGGCAUUGAAAACUAUUGAGCUGGAGGUUUGGAGGGGGGACUGGAAUUCUCGGUGUAGCAGUGAAAUGCGUAGAUAUCGAGAGGAACACCAGUGGCGAAGGCGAGUCCCUGGACAACACCUGACACUGAGGCACGAAAGCUAGGGGAGCAAACAGG